rnacentral:rRNA from 1 species
GAUGAACGCUGGCGGCGUGCUUAACACAUGCAAGUCGAACGGGAAACCUUUUAAUGAAGCUUCGGCAGAUUUAGCUGGUUUCUAGUGGCGGACGGGUGAGUAACGCGUGGGUAACCUGCCUUAUACAGGGGGAUAACAGUCAGAAAUGACUGCUAAUACCGCAUAAGCGCACAGGACCGCAUGGUCCGGUGUGAAAAACUCCGGUGGUAUAAGAUGGACCCGCGUUGGAUUAGCUUGUUGGUGGGGUAACGGCUCACCAAGGCGACGAUCCAUAGCCGGCCUGAGAGGGUGAACGGCCACAUUGGGACUGAGACACGGCCCAGACUCCUACGGGAGGCAGCAGUGGGGAAUAUUGCACAAUGGGGGAAACCCUGUUGCAGCGACGCCGCGUGAAGGAAGAAGUAUCUCGGUAUGUAAACUUCUAUCAGCAGGGAAGAUAGUGACGGUACCUGACUAAGAAGCCCCGGCUAACUACGUG